rnacentral:lncRNA from 1 species
UAGGGAAGGAAGAGAAACAGUGUGGAAGCAGCGUGGGAGCACAGGGAGCUUCCCCUUGUCCGGGCCGGAGGCCAAGCCCUGAGAGCAGCCAACCCUGCAGAGGGGCUGCCAGAGAGGGCAUCGGGCAGGCAGCCAGAGCCAGUCAGGGCAAGGCCGGGGAAGGGAGGGGACCACGGGGCAUCACAAAAGACGCGGGACGGACAAACCAGGCUUCAGAGGGGAGGGGACGGUGGCUAGGGGGAAAAGGCCUGAACAGAGGAGGUAGCCAGCCCAGGCACCGCCACCCCCACCUUUGGUCAGAACACCCCUGCGCCUGGAGUGGGCACAUCGGGCAGCAGCCUCUCCUUUGGGGCAUCCUCAGCACCCGCCCAAGGCUUUGUUGGUGUUGCACCUUUCGGAUCGGCGGCCCCUUCAUUUUCCAUUGGUGCAGGAUCCAAGACCCCAGGGGCUCGACAGCGACUGCAGGCCCGAAGGCAGCACACCCGCAAAAAGUAGCCUUUGUCCCCUGUCCCUGUUCCCCCCACCCCCCCUUCCCUAAAUCUGGACCUUGGCACCUGCUAGGAAGAGCCUUGGACCCUUCCAGUUGCGUAAAGCAAACCUACCCCGGAUCUCUGGCUUCAGCUGCCAGGGGGUAGUGGCAGCCCUGGGGCCCUUUCCCUUCUCCUGGAGGAAGCACAAGCCUCAGGGAUGGGGAAGCAGGAUGCGGAGGGCCAAAGCCCGGGACCUCUACUUGAACAGUUCCACUGGGGAGGCUGGAGAACUAAGGAAACACCUGUACAUAGUGUCCGCUGCCCUGACUCCGGCUUAGCACACCCUUAGGCAGGCGCCCCUUCCACCUUUCCCCGAGAGCCGUCGUCGCUGGAGGGUGCAGGGUCCAGCCCGCCUGGAUCGGUGGUGUGCACCUGAUGGGAUUUGGGAAAUGGGUUAUCCCUAAAGCUUUAUCUUGCUUGGCUUAGCUGUGAGAAGUGGUUCUUUUCCUCUGGUCCCUUCUGGGGACUCUGUUUCCCCAUUUCUUGCUGCUGUGUCCCUCACCGGUUCCUUGCAGGAUUCCCUCCUUUUUAAAUGCCCUUGAAUCUAGCUUUGCCUUGGAGACCCCAGUGGGUGCUGCUCCUGCCGUUUUCUUCCUGCCAGGCCUGAAUCAAUGUUUCAUCUCCAACCCUCUGCCAGUUUGGCCCCUCAGAGCUUGGUGGCUCAAGACUGUUAGCCUGGCAGAGCCAGGGGUGAGAUACCUCGCUCCAGGAAGAAGCUCUUGGAGCAGGCAGGAUGCCCACCGCUGCUUCAGCUGCCUCCUCGCCCAGCUACCCUUUGGCCCCAUUGGGCCCUCGUCUGCCUCUCCAGGAUUGUAUGUUUCAAGCCUUGUCCUGUGUUCCUUUGUCUGACGCUCUGUGUAUUGCUCUUUGAAUCGAGUUUGGAGGAAGAGUUGAGUUGUAUGAGUGGCGGCAUGUUGGUAGUGCCGGACUUCCUGUUUCAAGUUUUCUGGGGCCUCGCUAAUUGAAUGUGGAAAGUAGCACCACUUGACGGCUACAAGUGCCGACUCCUGAAUUUUCCCAUGGUGUUCUGACUUCAAGGGCUGGCAGCCAGGGAGAAUGGGCCCAGGGGAAGCAAAGACCUCUUCCCUCUGCUGUUUCUGUCCCACUUAACUGACCUCACUGGAGGCUACAUCACCCAAAGUAGAUGUUAGAAAACCUAAAUUAAUGAACCAUAUUUUUAAAAUCCUAUUUUUCCCAAACAGGGCCCUCUGCAGCCCAUCCUUUCCUUCUGUCCUUCUGAAACCACAUACCCCAGGCCCAAGCGCCUUGCUGCCACGCCCAACCUCUUUGGGAGAAGUAUGAAUGCGUGUGUCUAAAUUGAAAGAAAAAAAUAUUUAAACGUUUUUUAACAAAAAUUUAUUUUUGUAUUUAAGCUAAAUUGCCUUUUAAAUUCCUUCAAGCUUGGUUCAUUGAGGUGGUUAAGUAUAAAUGCUAUUAACUAGGAAUUAGCUGUAUAGUUAAGUUAUGCCUGUGCAAAGAAGAGGCUCAAAUGCUGUCCCCGGCAGCUUUCCUGGGGGACUAGAGCUCCUUCUGGCCAUGUUAUAUGAAAUGUAAUUCUUAUUUUAUAAAUAAUGUGAUGUAGAUGUAACCGGUGCCCCCUCCCUGUUGUGACUGAGGGCGAGUGUUAUACCUGGCUGCGUGUGCAGCUGAGGAGGGAGUGAACCUCAAGCCUAAAUACCUGUUAGGAUUGGAGGGUCAGGGUGGGCCUGGGCCUAGCAAUCAAGCUUCUACCUGUACCUUACGUAAGGUAGACCCUCCUAGUGUCAGUACCUGAGCUAGUUUACCUCAGUUCCGCAGGCAGG